rnacentral:rRNA from 1 species
UACCUCGAGCGGUACGAUCGGUAGGCGGGAGAGGAGAGCUUCGACCCCCUGGACGAGCGUCCGCUCAAGUGGGAACUCUUCGCACACUCCUUUCCGCAGCUCAGAGAAUCGUUCCUCUACAACGACUACGUCCAACGGGAACCGUUCCACCGCUUUCACGGCGGGCUCCUCGAGCUACUCCCCCAGUUCUAGACCCGUCCUUACCAUUCCCUGGACCGGAUGGUUUACCUUCUGUAGCACCUACAGAAGUAACACACACACCUACUAAAUAGACGGUUGGGUUUCUUAUCUCACUUCUUCAACGAAUUCUUCUGUCCGUUCAAUAAGUUCUUCCCGUUUCUAGAAGUAGCUUAGAGGCUACGAGAUCUUCUUCGUCAAUGAGUCCGAUUCGUCGACCGACUCAACACGGUUUCUACACUCUCUCGAACAGCCGUAACUUCUUGGUGCUCUGCUCAACUAGUUGUUCAAUGAAGUUCCACUACUAACCAGUUUCUUAGGCAACUUCUGUCAGAGACAACAACCUAAACCACCCAAUCCGUUCUGUUGGGAACGGUUUUGUACAUACUGUUCUAGUUUCACGUUAAACUAACAUCACGAAAACAAAGCCAAAGAACCUUAGGGUUGUACUUUUUUUAGAACUUCUUAUAGGAAAAACUCGAGCUGUUCUUUUACAUAAGUUUGUAUGUAUUAUGCAGUGCUCUUCUUUUAGUAGAGUAGCUGCUUGAGUAACUUAAAGAAUUACUGUUUUCCAUGGAGUAGCAUUAACUACUGUAUACCUUACUUUUACGCACAGUUAAUUAGUUCACGCGAAAGAGGUUCUUAUCAGAACCUUCAGCUCAUUAGUGCUGUUGGGCGUAGAAACCACAAAGGCUUCGUACAACGAGAAGACGACUACUAUAAAUAUCCUACUUUGGAGAAAGACUACUACAGAGUUCUUCCGAGAAAACUUCUCAUAAAAGAAGGUUAUUUCCUACAGGAGCACUUAACUACCUACAUAGAUUUGUGUAGAACUUCUUUACACCACCUUAUGAUAAUCGGCAAUAAUGAUAUCGUUCAGAAGAUCGAUUAUUGGUAGCCUACUUUUGUUUCCUGGUUACCUUGUGGUACGAGUUGAGGUAACCAGCACCUGAGUCUCUCCCAGCAUCACAUUAACUCUACUUCUUCUAUGAUAACAAGUCAAUAAUACUAGAUGGAAGAAUAGAAUUCGGUACAAAUAAUAUAGAUUCGUAGAAAGGUCUUCUAGUGCUCUAAUAAUCUCCGUUCGAUUAUAAUUUUACCUACAGGCUUCCUAAACACAUAUAACAUAUCACUUAUUCUUCUUUGAUCGAAUAUACUCGAGCCACUGAUCAUGAAGUUACUCGAUCAUUUAUCUUCAUACUAGGUCGGUUAUCCGGAACUAUUACUUCUUUUCCGUUUUCGAACAACACAUGUACUGUACCACGAUCUAGAGUAUACAAGUAAUCGUUCACUUCUCUUGAAACAGUGAUAUAGCCUACCGUGGUUCUCUUUUUAUGGAUUUAGCGUUUCGUUCCAGGCGUCUAACAGUUAGGUUUUAUCGUUGCAUCUACACCGAUGGUAGUCAUACUCUGUUCAUUCUAGAUAAUGACAAAAGUGCUUACUAUAACAAUUAGUUGACAUCUUUUAAAGUUCAAAAGUUCAACACGCACACAACCUAAAUCCUCUAACAGGAUAAGACCUAUGGUCCUGAAAAAACUUAAACUCCAUGGAUGCUGUAUUACCACUACCCCAAUUCCUGAAAGGCUACCUUUAACCUUUCGAUGUCAAAAACGUUCAGAACCUAUAAUCACCUUUUUCAUAUUUUCUUUACGGCGGUUCACAACAAGCCGAUUCUGCAGACUACAUGGAUACAUAGCCGGCCCCGCUUCGAGGGUAGACCCUAUCCAUUGAACUGAAGGGAUCUUCACGAUGAACCAGAUCUCCACCCGUUCAAAAGAAGCACACCAAAGUUAGUGGUAGAACACUUUCUCAACCCGGUGGACUGGUUCGACUCCCACGAGGCCAAAAACACCCGACUAAACCUACCCUCGUACACAUCUUGAAACCGGUUAAGGGAUUCAUUAGACGUGUCCAACCUUCAAGAUGUCUUAAUACAGUUUCCACCUACGCAACUAGAGUACGUGCAUCCGACCCAAGGGAGAGGUGUUUAGGCGUCUAAUGCCUAAUAACCAACGAGUAACAUCUGUGAUAGGCGUACCUAAUUAGGAAGUAACGAAGGCAAGUACAGGAUAGAUCGUUAUUGUCACUCACUUCACGCUAGCCUCCUGUGAGUUAAAGAACCCUACAACGCACGUGAAACAAUAGAGCUAGAUGCACAACUCCCGUUGAAGAGUCCUCUCUUAGUACACCACAUUUACAGACAACAGUGGUGACUACGUAAAGGUACACGCUGACUCACGAUGAAAGAUCCUUAACACAGAUGCGGUAGAUAUAAAGGCGUUCCUCGGCGCGGUUCCGAAUGCCUUGAAACGAAGCUGAAGGGUCGAUACACCUAGCCGGC